rnacentral:lncRNA from 1 species
GACAAGUUAACAAUGCCUCCUAGCCCUUUUGCUUCUGCAGGUCCUGGAAGAAUGCAUGCAAAUAUGCCAGGGAGACCUCAUUAUCAAGCGUUGGAAGUGAUCUCUGAAACAGAGUAAGCAUACAAUGAUCGAGUAGUCAAGUAGAAGGGCUACGCAAACAUAUCUGCAGAGAGCGAGGCGUUCUAUAAUCUUCGAGGGUGUGUAAUAUUUGUCCAACUGAAAGCAAGUCAUGUAAUAUAAUCUUCGUACAUUGAACAAUGAUGGUGUUUGGAUGUAUUACUGACGCCAAUAUGAUCAAUGCAAACUAGGUAUAAAUAUUUGAACUUUAUUCUUUUGUUUCUCAAAGUGAUGAGAAUGGCUGUCAUAUCUUCAGUCCAAAGCAUGCUUACAAUGAUUGAAUAAUAAAUAAAUGUUAUUAAUAUAUCAUGUUAUUCAUUGUUUGUUUUGUAAAAUAUAUUAUGAGCAUUGUAUAAUAUAAUUUGUUAAAAUAUAUUGAUAGAUUUAGAUUGGUUUACUCACAUGAACAAUCACUUCUAACGCUUGUAAAGUGAGUAGAAAUGAAACUAUUUGAGUUUUAAUGCUCAAUAAACGACUUGGAUGUAGUAGGAGUAAUUUUAACUCAAAAUAAUUCUUAAAAAGUUACCUUGAUUGAGACCAAGAUGAGGUUUUUAAAUAAAAGAAUUGACAUGAAUAAAUUCUCACCAUUCAUGUCUUUAUUAUGAUUGAAGUCGAGUAUGAAAUUAUUCAUUUGCCACUAAUAACAGUGAGCAAAUGAGAAUUUCUGAUUUGAAAUCUAUGUUUUUUGACGAUAAGAUUAAGACUCGUAUGGUGUAUUUCUUUUAACAAAAAGUGCAACGACAUACUCUUUUUUUUUUCAGAAAAGAAAAAAGUAAGCUUCACUAUAUCAUGUAUUUCAUACUACAUGUGCUUACAACUAUUACAAGAAUAAAGAACGGAUCUCUACUUCUUUAUUAUGUGAGUCCUGGAGAUCAUAUCUAAGAUCUUAAAAUUUUACCCUUUGUGACUUUUGAAUAAUCGCUACUUUAGGAAUAUAUUCUAUGGUCAUGGAAUGAUUCGACUUAAAAAAAUACUCUUAGAAAAUCGAGUUAAUUCAGAUCUGAUUGAUAUGAGUGGAAAAGAAAAGUAAUUUUAGUUGUACACCCGUUACUUGUAUUCUCCGGCAGAGAUCAUAUCACUCGAAUAAAUUUAAUAUGGUUUAGAAUACUUGUAAUUGUAAAGAUGAAUUGAGUAUAAAAUUCUUGAGGGAUUGAAUUAUAUUUAGUCAUGUGUAACUAAAAAUACUUUAGGUAUAUUAAUACACUUUAAGAAAUAAUUAAUUAUGAGAUUGAUGUCUCCUAUAUGACAAGUAUUAGUUUUAUAUAUUGGAGCUCCUUUCACUUUGUGCUUCAGGUCGCAUAGUCCGUUCGUUAAGUAUGAAAUUCUUGUGCAAGUUUGAAAUAUAAUGUAUUAGAUAGCUUCAGUAAUUCAUGGGCGAGUGAGAGAUGUUGAUUAUUGGGUUAAGCUUGGUCCGCCCAUGAAAGAUGAGCCUAGUCCAAGUAUUUAGAGGAAUUACUAAAGAAAAUAACAUCUUCCUCUACUUAUAUAUAAAGGGACAUAAUCCAUAUGAAAAAAAAAAGUUUUUCAUUUUAUUAAAAGAACAUGGUUAUCUCUUUCUCUUCUCCCAUCUUGGAUUCUCUGUAUUAAUUUGACAAGAUCUAUAAAAAUAUUCGUACUGUAUAAUAUCACUUUGAUUCUAGUAAUUGAAGUGGCAUUGAAAUAAUUAAUUCAGGGAUAAGAAAAUAAAUUCUCAUGAGUAAGUUUCUUUUUAAAUCUACACUCAACACAAAAUCCAAUGAGCCGGAUGAUGUUACCAUGGUGAAUCCUUCCUGUGGUGGGAACUUCAUUGAUGAAGUCCUGACCAUUUGCUUUCGACUUGCCUGACAUCUUUAUUGCGACAGAAUUCCCACUUCGGAGCAUGCCCUUAUAUACGGAGCCCUAGCCACCCUCACCCAAUUUUUCCUUGAAAUAGUUGGUCAUCUUUUUAAUUUCCGAGUAUGAGUACCUUAUGGGCAUGAAGUUAUGGUGACUUUGCAGAAAAUCUUCGAUGUUGUCAUACGUUGGUAAAUGCCUCCUCCAUUUAUAGAUCAGAAAGAUGAAGACACAUGGAGCCCCACAUACAAGUCUUAUCGCAAGACAUAAUCCUGCGUUGGAACGUCAGAAACCAUAAUAGGACGAGAGAUUCUAUGAUGAGAUGCUACCAAAAUAAUCUGAUGCAACAGAAAUAAGCUGAAAAUUUCUUGAUAGCUACAAUUCUAUGAUGAGAUGCUAUUUACCAUAUAAAGAAACAUGGCAAAUGUGCAAGCAUGAAUUUCAGAAAUAUUGUGAGAAUUCAUGAGGACAGUCAAUAGAAAGCUUACGCACACUGGAAAGAUGCCCAUGGAAAAUGUUGCAGGGGUUAGAGCAGUUGACGACACGAGUGGUAUUAUCCAAUAAGCAAAAGCCUUGCGCCUUGCAUUCUCUACAGUAAAUAGUAUCCCAUUCUAGCGUCAAACCAUUCACAAGAAUUUUAUGGAUAUCAAUGUAUGACAGGCUCCUUUUGUUAUCUGGCGGAGUUGCCAUAAGCACUAGAUCAACAUGGCACGAGUCCCCUACUUCCGAAGCCUUCAUAUCGCCAGAAACAACAUACCGGUAUGCCUUCUUCGAGGACAAGGACGAUAUGCAAGAAUCCUUUCCAGUGAUACAAGAAUUAGUGCUGAUAUAUAGAGGGGACUGCAUAGGAUUCUGGCAACAUAGAAAUAUGUUUUUUCUGGUGCCGUAUAUGAAUGGAAUCAUAUAUGGAUCUCCAUAACUGAAGUUGUUCUCUGACAAAUGAUACAGAGGAAGCGUAGAGCAAUUAUCUUCUUGUAAACCAACAUCAGCUAUCCUUCACAUAGUAAUUGAUCUCCAUCAGCUAUCCGAAUCGUUGAAUAUUUGCACGAUUGUUCCCGCAAGUCAACUGAUAGCUAGGAUCACCGCAGUUUUCCGGGUCUCCUUGUAGUCGAAAAGGGUAGCUAAUGUUAGUAAGGUGGCCACACGAAGAAGGAUGUUCACAAAGAUGAUUUGUUUUAGCAGCACAGGGCUCACGGUUUAUGAGGAGGACCACAAAAAAAACAGCACAUAGAAGAACUCUACUAAACAUAAUGUCAGAUGGCUUGUUUCAGAUUGAAGGCGGAGACUUGAGGCUAUCUCGUGGCUGUUGUCGGCUAAAGGUUGCCUGAAAUUUGUUGGUGGUUAUUAAAGCCAAAACUUCAUCCAUUUUUUUAUUAAAAUUCUGAUAAUUUUCAAAUAAAUAAAGAAGCUAGAGAAGACUUUGAGAUUCUGCAUUUACUUUUAAUUAAUUAAAGACCAUAAUACUGUCAGCUCAAACCUAAGUAAUCAGCUAUUCAUAAUAAUAGAGGGUUUAGAGCAUGACAGAUUUCCCAGGACGGCCGGCUGUCACUGGAGUAUCAAAGUCCCAGUCAAAAUGCAAAAGCAAGUCCCAGUCAAAAUGCAAAUGCCAAGUGUCAGUUACCUCCGAGGAAAGUUACAAGGUCCGGAUAGAUUUAUUAUGUAAAUAUUUUAAUAUUGAAAAAAAAAAUUAUUUUGAAUUUUUAAAUAUUUUUACUGGAUAUUUAAGUUGUUUUUUUAUACCUAUCAAAUCAAUUGAAUCAUGUAAAAUCAACUUUCAUACCGAUUAAUUUUAAAUUCAAGCUGGACAAGAAGUCAGGUUGAAAAGUUUUAAAGUUAACCCGUUAGAUUUGGUUUAAUGAAAAUACUAAAUAGUUAAUAUUUUUUUAAAGAAUUCUAUCAUCUUUUGUUUUUCCUUUUAUUGAAUUAUUUUUUUUUAUUAAUAUUUUCUUUCAAUAAUUAAAGACUAAGCAAGAAUUCAGGUAAAAAAAAAUUCAAAAUUUACCUGUUAAAUUUAAAAAAGUUUUGAUGCUUUCCGCAGUGUAGUGCGGCCCAGAAAACUAAUAGGAAUGGAAUGAAACCACCAUAUGGUGUCCAUAAAUAGGAGCUGUGUUGGUUCUCACCGUAGCUUAAAACCUGGUAGCGUGACGACUUGGAUUCUAGCUGCGGCCGCAUUUUAUUUCUUUAUAAACGCCAUAAUUUUGAUUAAAAAAAAAUGGAUUGACCUUGAGCCUGGUCGUAUGCCGGUCUGGUCUGUGUUUACUGUUAGAGAUAAACCUUUGUUAGUCUUGUUAGUAACAGAUGAAAUAAUGUUUAUCUUUUCUUUUCUGUUAAGCUUUGUUAGUAAGAGAUGAGAUCAUGUUUAUUUCAAGAUAAAAAUAUAUGUUUAGCUUGUUAUCUUGUAUUCUUAUCUCUUCUUUUAAAAUUCAAAUAACUGUAUACUAUCUAUAAAUACAAUGCAUACUAGACUGAUCAUUCAUUCAGCUUUUCCGCACUUUAUUUUAGAAUUGUAACUUUUACCAUAGUUCAUAUGCCUGCUAGUUCUUUAUAAUUUUUAUUUUAUUUUAAUUGUUUGGGGGCGGGCCUGGCAUCAACUUUUAUGCAUGACCGGCAUUACCUCUUGCAUUUCUUGGGAUGGAAGAAGACUUUUGCUUAUCUGGUGCUUCGAAAAGUGACAAACUUGACUGUAACUUAUCCCUAAUAUUUGAUGACUUGCUAACGCGACAGAUUUGAGCUCUGGCUUUUCCUAGCAACUUCGCACCACAGCAUAAAUACCCCACACGGAAAAAACAUAAAGGAACCUAGCAAUAUCAGAUUGGCCAAGUCCUUGAAAUGUUUUCCACGGCUCAAGUCAAUGGAGUAAACUAUACAGAAAUUACUCAAGAGAGCCAAGCCCCAAAUUACCUUUUCACGAUAACAUCAUUUGCAGGACAGUGAAGCUCAAAAAAACUAUGUAUUUGGAAAUGGAUCUCUCUGUAGUUUGCUUGUUGAUGCUGGUCCUUGUAUGUCAUGGAGCUGGCCAUAACGAAACGUUCCAGGAAGCAAGGUGUAAGAAGCAUGGUCCGGCCAUAAGAUUUCCAUUCAGACUCGACAAGCAGCCAGUUCACUGUGGCUAUGAUCCUCGGUUUGUUCUAUCUUGCAAUCAAAGGAACGAAACAUUGUUGCAGCUACCAACUUCUGUGACGCUCAACAUCAAGAAAAUUGACUAUGCAUCACGGUUAAUCAUUGCAGCUGAUCCAGAUAACUGCCUCCCAAGACAGCUUAGAAACUUCAGUUUAUCUCAAUCUCCUUUCAAAUUUGCAGGCCAGUACCAGGAUGAUUAUGCCCUUUUCAACUGUACAUCAAAGCAAGGAGAUUAUUAUGAUCCGAUAUCUUGCCUUGGUGUUCCUGGAUAUGAUAUCUAUGCCUAUAGUUCUAAUAAUUUCCUCGGUUAUACAGACCUGACUAAUUGUACCAAGAUGUAUAAUGUUCCAUCAAUUCCAUCGGAAAUGAUUCGCGGUGAUAAUAUUCUUCACUUGAAUUGGUCAGAACCAGCAGCAUGUGUAGGUUGUGAAGAACAAGGCAAGUUCUGCGGAUGGAAGAAAAACACUUCUAAGCUUGAAACUGAAUGCUAUGAGAAGCCUAAAUCAAAUAAAGGUACGGCCUGUAUUAAAUUCUGCUUUAGUUUUCUGCAGCCAAUCUAAUUCUUUGUGCUUAAUUUGGAACUAUUGGAUGACUCUUUAGUUAAGAAAAUCAAAUAUUUUCACGAGUUCUUCAAUUUUAGUUAUGAAACAUGUAGUUUUCAGGUCAUGUAGGUUGGUUGCUUGAUACAUGUUGAGAUUAGUAAAUUGCACAAGAUAGUCAUGGUUUAGAUAAGAUCCACGAAUUAUGAUUGUCGAAUGCGUGCUAUUAAAGAAUCUAAUGUUACCAUAUAUUUCUCUUACAGGCAAAAUAAGGAAGAUAGAGGGUGCAGGUGAGAUUUCUGCAAAUUUGGAAGUUUUAGAAUUGUCUCCUUAUCUUGCAUCUUCUAAACUAUCUUGAUGAGUUCUUGAUUAAGAAAUGUUUUGUUUGCAGUUGCAACCGUGGGUUCAGUUCUUGUAUUACUGGUAUUGUUGGCAGCCUACCGUGUCUACAGCUCUGAUAAAGCAGCGAAAAACAAUCAGAAAAGGAUUGAAAACUUUCUGGCAGAUUAUAAAGCUCUCAAGCCCGCAAGAUACACAUAUGCUGACAUUAAAAGGAUUACGGAUGAGUUCAAGGACAAGCUGGGUCAGGGAGCAUAUGGAACUGUGUUUAAAGGAAAGCUUUCUGAUGAGAUCUUUGUUGCUGUGAAGAUCCUGAACAACUCAACAGGAAACGGAGAAGAGUUCAUCAAUGAAGUGGCAACAAUGGGAAAGAUCCAUCACGUCAAUGUUAUACGCUUAGUUGGUUACUGUGCUGAUGGAUUUCGAAGAGCUCUAGUCUAUGAUUACCUGCCAAAUGAAUCACUAGAGAAAUUUGUAUCUUCAGAACAUGGCGAAACCUCCAGUCUUAGCUGGGAGAAGCUUCAGGAUAUUGCUCUUGGCAUGGCUAAAGGCAUCGAAUAUCUUCACCAAGGCUGUGAUCAGCGAAUCCUCCAUUUCGACAUCAAACCUCAUAACAUCUUGUUAGAUGACCAUUUCAAUCCAAAGAUUUCUGAUUUCGGUCUGGCAAAGCUGUGCUCCAAGGAUCAGAGUGCCGUGUCCAUGACUACAGCUCGAGGAACCAUGGGGUAUAUUGCACCUGAAGUUUUCUCUAGGAACUUUGGGCAUGUUUCCUAUAAGUCUGAUGUUUAUAGUUUUGGAAUGGUGUUGCUCGAAAUGGUCGGAGGGAGGAAGACUAUCGAUGAUAAGGUAGAGAACAGCAACCAAAUCUACUUCCCAGAAUGGGUCUACAACAGCCUGGAUAAAGGAGAAGAGCUGAGAAUCAGAAUUGAAAAGGAGGGGGACGCGCAAAUCGCAAAGAAGCUGACUCUUGUAGGACUAUGGUGCAUUCAGUGGCACCCCGUGGAUCGUCCGUCCAUGAAUACUGUCGUGCAAAUGUUGGAAGGAGAAGGAGACAAGUUAACAAUGCCUCCUAGCCCUUUUGCUUCUGCAGGUCCUGGAAGAAUGCAUGCAAAUAUGCCAGGGAGACCUCAUUAUCAAGCGUUGGAGGUGAUCUCUGAAACAGAGUAAGCAUGCAAUGAUCAAGUAGUCAAGUAGAAGGGCUACGCAAACAUAUCUGCAGAGAGUGAGGCGUUCUAUAAUCUUUGAGGGUGUGUAAUAUUUGUCCAACUGAAAGCAAGGCAUGUAAUAUAAUCUUCGUACAUUGAACAAUGAUGGUGUUUCGGAUGUAUUACUGACGCCAAUAUGAUCAACGCAAACUAAGUAUAAAUAUUUGAACUUUAUUUUUUUGGUUCUCAAAGUGAUAAGAAUGGCUGUCAUUUCUUGAAUUAAAAGCAUAGGCUCACAAUGAUUGAAUAAUAAAUAAAUAUCAUUAGCAUAUCAUAUUAUUCAUUAUUUGUUUUAUGAAAUAUAAUGUGAGUAUUGUAUAAUACAAUUUGUUAAAAUAUAUUGAUAGAUUUAGAUUAGUUUACUCAUAUGAGUAAUUACCUCUAACGCUUGUAAAGUGAGUGGAGAUGAAACUAUUUGAGUUUUAAUGCUCAAUAAACGACUUGAGUGUAGCGGGAGCAAUUUUAACUCAAAGUAAUUCUUAAAAAGUCAUCUUGAUUGAGACUAAGAUGAGGUUCUUAAAUAAAAGAAUUGACAUGAAUGAAUUCCCACCAUUCAUGUCUUUAUUAUGAUUGAAGCCGAGUAUGAAAUUAUUCAUUUGCCACUAAUGAUAGUGAGCAAAUGAGAAUUUCUGAUUUGAAAUCUAUGUUUUUUGACGACAAGACUAAGACUUGUAUGGUGUAUUUCCUUUAACAAAAAGUAUAACGACAUACUCUAUUUGUUUUCAGAAAAGAAAUUUUACUAUGGUAAGAAUGGAGCAUCAACUUUUGCUUAUCUGGAAUUACCUCUUUUAUGCAUGACCGGCAUUACCUCUUGCAUUUCUUGGGAUGGAAGAAGACUUUUGCUUAUCUGGUCCAUGGAAAAGUGACAAACUUGACUUAACUUAUCCCUAAUCUUUGAUGACUUGCUAACGCGACAGAUUUGAGCUCUGGCUUUUCCUAGCAACUUCGCACCACAACAUAAAUACCCCACACGGAAAAAACAUAAAGGAACCUAGCAAUAUCAGAUUGGCCAAGUCCUUGAAAUGUUUUCCACGGCUCAAGUCAAUGGAGUAAACUAUACAGAAAUUACUCAAGAGAGCCAAGCCCCAAAUUACGUUUUCAGGAUAACAUCAUUUGCAGGACAGUGAAGCUCAAAAAAACUAUGUAUUUGGAAAUGGAUCUCUCUGUAGUUUGCUUGUUGAUGCUGGUCCUUGUAUGUCAUGGAGCUGGCCAUAACGAUAAGUUCCAAAAAGCAAAGUGUAAGAAGCAUGGUCCAGCCAUGAGAUUUCCGUUCAGACUCGACAAGCAGCCAGAGUACUGUGGCUAUCCUGGGUUUGUUCUAUCUUGCAAUCAAAGGAACGAAACUGUCACGACCCGAAUCCCGGAUCCAUGACCAGCACAUAGGCAAGGUUCCCCUCCAAGGUUCCAUGCCUAUGCGAACCCAAACUUACACACAAACUUAUCCUAACUUAAUCAGAGUUCAACGCAGCAUUAAUAACAAAAUCAACUUCAUAAUAUAAUUGAAUUAUCUUAAUACAAGAGUUAAUAUAAUUCAUAGUUUUGGAGCACUAACUUGACAUAAAAGGAAGGUAUAAAUUACAACCAAAAAGCAGGUUCGGAAGGUUCAACAAAAGUAACCUGCUAUCAAGAUAUAAGCUUGAAAAGAAUAAUAAUGAGAGGGUGAGUUCAACAACUCAGUGAGUAGAUAACAUUCAAUAUACACAUACGAGGUAAUACAACAAUGAGAAAUAUAUAUACAAGUAUGGCUCUAGGUUCUUAUAGAAAGGUUUCUCAAAUAGGCCAUAACAAGAAUAUCAUAUGGUAAAGCUCGUCAGAAAAUCAAAAUGCAAUGAGCAUGAGGCUCCGUAUUGUGGGAUGAUCAGUCCACACAGGUUGGUGACUCCCCCGACCAACUAGGGUUCAGAUACGAUGUGCACAAAGACUAACACUACCCUGUGUUAGCAUGGGUAUUCUGACUGACAUACCAUAGGUUCAUAAUCAUAAUCAAACAGACAUAUUCAUAUCUCAAGGCUCAACUCAUGACAUCAAUCAAAUGAGGAGCUAUCAAUUCAGAAGUCAAUUCAAAAUAUAUACCGGUUCAUAUCAAGAAUUCAGAUUCAACAAUUGAUCAUGCUUUAUCAUAACAAGGAUAAUAAUCAACAUAUAUAUUAACAAGAAGCAUGAUCCAAUUCAUAUUAACAAAUCAAAUAUUUAUAAUAUUUCUCAUGCAUAUGGAAAAUUAUCCACUCACCUGACUCGAAAGCAACAAAACUCAAAGCUGAUACCGAAGGAAAUCCUACUGACGUCCCGCUGGUAGAAUAUCAGGAUUAUUUGAAUACAAAUGAGACAUAUUCAAGAAUGACUCAAAAGAACAUAUAACCUAUUUAAUACACUUAUCUAAGGGUGUAUUCCAUAACCCUAUAUGUUUUUGAACUAACUAGUUAUUUUUCCUAAAAACCCAACAUUUAACGGUUUUCCUGAAAUCUAAUCCAUAAUAAAACAAAUAAUAAAAUUGGUAAUAAUUCACUAAAUAACCCUCAAUUAUUCAUCAAACCAAUCUGCAAAAGUUAAUAUUACAUCUGGGGACUAAUAUGUAAUUUAUCAUAUUUUUAAGGGUCAAAUUGCAAUUUUUGUCAAAUUGAAGGACCAAACUGAAAUUGUCAUAAAUCCAUUACUAUACUGAAAUUCUGACCAUAAUUAAUCAUUAAUUCUGUCCAGAAUAUCUCAUUAUACUCCAGGGACCAUUCUGGAAUUUUUCCAAAUUUUUAGGGUCAAAUUGUAAUUUUUGUCAAAUUGAAGGACUAAAUUGAAAGUGUUAAAAUUUCAUAACUAUACAGUAAUUCUGCCCAUAAUUCAUAUUUCAUUCUGUCCAGAAUCUCGGAAUAGGCUCCAGGGACCAAUCUGUAAUUUUCCAAAGUUUGGGGACUAAACUGUAAUUUUCCAAAAUUGAGGGACCAAAUUGAAUUUUCGUCAUCUUCAACCUCAAACCCAGAAUUUUCACAGAUUACCUAUUGUUAUCCCCUGAUUUCUAACACAAAUUCACCAUUCAAACAAAACCAUAACUCAAAAUCAUCAUUUUUAUCUACAAUCUCUCAAAUUCAACUUAACAAUCCAUUACCCACAACAAUCAACCUUAUAACAUUCAAUUUAAUUCAUCAAUUAAACCCAUAACACAAAUUUUCAAAACCCUAACAUUCAUCAAAACUGAAAUUAAAGCUAAAGAAAACAUAUUAUACACAUUUAAGCAUAAUCUUACCCUUUUUUACUUAUUUCUUCAACCCCUUUCUAUUUCCCUUCUAAUUUCCCUCUUUUCUCUUCUUCUUCUUCUUCUUUCUCCCUUCUCUCUCCCGUCAGUUUUUCACUCUAAA